rnacentral:rRNA from 1 species
GCAUAUCAAUAAGCGGAGGAAAAGAAACCAACAGGGAUUGCCCUAGUAACGGCGAGUGAAGCGGCAACAGCUCAAAUUUGAAAUCUGGCUCUUUCAGAGUCCGAGUUGUAAUUUGCAGAGGGCGCUUUGGUGUUGGCAGCGGUCCAAGUUCUUUGGAACAGGACGUCACAGAGGGUGAGAAUCCCGUACGUGGUCGCUAGCCCUCACCGUGUAAAGCCCCUUCGACGAGUCGAGUUGUUUGGGAAUGCAGCUCUAAAUGGGAGGUAAAUUUCUUCUAAAGCUAAAUACUGGCCAGAGACCGAUAGCGCACAAGUAGAGUGAUCGAAAGAUGAAAAGCACUUUGGAAAGAGAGUCAAAUAGCACGUGAAAUUGUUGAAAGGGAAGCGCUUGCAGCCAGACUUGCCUGUAGUUGCUUAUCCAGACUUUUGUCUGGUGCACUCUUCUGCGGGCAGGCCAGCAUCAGUUUGGGCGGUUGGAUAAAGGUCUCUGUCAUGUACCUCCUUUCGGGGAGGCCUUAUAGGGGAGACGACAUGCAACCAGCCUGGACUGAGGUCCGCGCAUCUGCUAGGAUGCUGGCGUAAUGGCUGUAAGCGGCCCGUCUUGAAACACGGACCAAGGAGUCUAACAUCUAUGCGAGUGUUUGGGUGUCAAGCCCAUACGCGUAAUGAAAGUGAACGGAGGUGGGAACCCUUUGGGUGCACCAUCGACCGAUCCUGAUGUCUUCGGAUGGAUUUGAGUAAGAGCAUGGCUGUUGGGACCCGAAAGAUGGUGAACUAUGCUUGAAUAGGGUGAAGCCAGAGGAAACUCUGGUGGAGGCUCGCAGCGGUUCUGACGUGCAAAUCGAUCGUCAAAUUUGGGCAUAGGGGCGAAAGACUAAUCGAACUAUCUAGUAGCUGGUUCCUGCCG